UACAGAGGGUGCAAGCGUUAAUCGGAAUGACUGGGCGUAAAGGGCGCGUAGGUGGAUAUUUAAGUGAGAUGUGAAAGCCCCGGGCUUAACCUGGGAAUGGCAUUUUAGACUGGAUAUCUGGAGUACAGUAGAGGGUGGAGGAAUUUCCGGUGUAGCGGUGAAAUGCGUAGAUAUCGGAAGGAACACCAGUGGCGAAGGCGACCACCUGGACUGAUACUGACACUGAGGCGCGAGAGCGUGGGUAGCAAACAGG
rnacentral:rRNA from 1 species